rnacentral:tRNA from 1 species
AGGAAUGUAGCUCAGUUGGUAGAGCAACGGUCUCCAAAACCGUAGGUCGCAGGUUCGAGUCCUGUCGUUCCUGCCA